AGUGAACGCUGGCGGUAGGCCUAACACAUGCAAGUCGAACGGCAGCACAGUAAGAGCUUGCUCUUACGGGUGGCGAGUGGCGGACGGGUGAGGAAUACAUCGGAAUCUACUUUUUCGUGGGGGAUAACGUAGGGAAACUUACGCUAAUACCGCAUACGACCUACGGGUGAAAGCAGGGGAUCUUCGGACCUUGCGCGAUUGAAUGAGCCGAUGUCGGAUUAGCUAGUUGGCGGGGUAAAGGCCCACCAAGGCGACGAUCCGUAGCUGGUCUGAGAGGAUGAACAGGCACACCUGAACCUGGAAACGGGCCCAGCUCCCUAGGGAGGCAAGCAUGGGGAAAUUUUGGCCAAUGGGGGCAAGCUUGAUCAAGCCAUACCGCUGGGUUGAAGAAGGCUUUGGGGUUGUAAGCCCUUUUGUUGGGAAAGAAAAGCAGCAGGUUAAUACCCCGCUGUUCUGAUGGUACCCAAAGAAUAAGCACCGGCUAACUUCGUG
rnacentral:rRNA from 1 species